UACGGAGGGAGCUAGCGUUGUUCGGAAUUACUGGGCGUAAAGCGCACGUAGGCGGCUUUGUAAGUUAGAGGUGAAAGCCCGGGGCUCAACCCCGGAAUUGCCUUUAAGACUGCAUCGCUUGAAUCCAGGAGAGUGAGUGGAAUUCCGAGUGUAGAGGUGAAAUUCGUAGAUAUUCGGAAGAACACCAGUGGCGAAGGCGGCUCACUGGACUGGUAUUGACGCUGAGGUGCGAAAGCGUGGGGAGCAAACAGG
rnacentral:rRNA from 1 species